rnacentral:rRNA from 1 species
GACGAAGGAUGCAAGCGUUAUCCGGAUUCAUUGGGUUUAAAGGGUGCGUAGGCGGCCCGGUAAGUCAGUGGUGAAAUCUCCUUGCUUAACAAGGAAACUGCCAUUGAUACUGCUGGGCUUGAGUACAGAUGCUGUGGGCGGAAUAUGACAUGUAGUGGUGAAAUACUUAGAGAUGUCAUAGAACACCGAUUGCGAAGGCAGCUCACAAAACUGUAACUGACGCUGAGGCACGAAAGUGUGGGGAUCAAACAGG